rnacentral:rRNA from 1 species
UACGUAGGGUGCGAGCGUUGUCCGGAAUUACUGGGCGUAAAGAGGUCGUAGGUGGUUUGUCGCGUUGUUCGUGAAAACUCACAGCUUAACUGUGGGCGUGCGGGCGAUACGGGCAGACUGGAGUACUGCAGGGGAGACUGGAAUUCCUGGUGUAGCGGUGGAAUGCGCAGAUAUCAAGAGGAACACCGGUGGCGAAGGCGGGUCUCUGGGCCGAUACUGACGCUGAGGAGCGAAAGCGUGGGGAGCGAACAGG